CGUAUACAAGAGCGUCGUAUCCGUGAAAAGGAAUUACAGAGGAAGCGACCAAUUAGAACGAAGAGAUCUUCGUCUCUCGUAUUCUGAUUGGUCGAAUUCUAUUUUAAUAGUGCUUUCGACUGGCGUGUUCUUCCUGUUCAUGGCGGGUUAAUGUCGUCACAUACUUUAUCUUAGGUUCUCAUUGGAUGAUUCCAGCAUAUGGCGUCAACUUUGGGUUAAACCCAAUUAAACCCCGCUGCUCUCGAAAGUACUAUGAUCCUACAUGUCACUUUCUGAUCCCGAUUAGUUUAAUUGGUCAAUUUAUUUUAUAAAUUGCAAAACUCAAAAAGUUAGUGAUUCUAACCUAAUUUUUUAAUUUAAAUAAAUUAAAAGACUACAUUAUUAAUUUAAAGGAUCAUACUCAAUCAGCCUCUUGUAGCUGCACCAUGCUACACUUUUUGCAUUCGAGGCACGAGAUAAGAUGGAGAAUCAACUGUUGAAAGGAAAAGGAGAAGAGCUAAAGGCUAAAAUGCAAAGGAAUUGUAUAUUUAUUUAUCUUUGGAACUGUGUGUAAAUAAGCAUGUUUGUCGAAAUACGUACGUUUCAUCACGUAAUCACGUAAUGCAGUAGUGUACCUAUUUAUUGCCUCUCACGAACGUCGCACGCUCAAUUACGCACGUUCAAUUACAUUUAAUUACAGUAGGACUCGUGAAACAUUACUCACAUGUGUUUUAAGCAUCUUUUCAUUCCGGUUUAUCAAAUAUUAAACAUGGAUAAAUGAGACUUACAACUCUCACAAGUACUGUGAAUGUCUAAAGCAAAUGCAGACAGAUGGCAACUACAGAUUUAAAGAAACAAAAGGGAUGUGAAUAUUUUCAGAAAUUGUAUAUUUCAUUUACAUAUUUAAAUUAAAGUUGUCGAGUCAAGGAUAGGGUGACCAAUGAGGCCACUUCUUAAUUUCAUUAUAUAAAGCAUCUCCAGGACUGAGAGUCCCUGGCGAAACUUGUCGGUGACCUAACAGUUUAUAGUCAGAAUUGAAGUUAUAGGAAUGGGCACCAACAUGGUCCCAGCUUCUGCCAACAUAUGCACGACCAUCGCCUCCGACAAGGAAAUUAUAACCGAUAUCUGACCAAUUUUUAGAUUCAAUAUGAUAGGUCUGAGCAAUUCUCACGCGAUGGACAAUUACCCUCAAUCGAUGAGUCUGGAAUUUCCGGGAAGAGCGGCGUGUUCGAGUGAUGAGUGAAAUAUAUACUUGUGAUCACUACAGCAGCUAAAAGUAUUAAAACUAAAACGCACGAUAAAGCCGCGCAUCUCCAUGUCCAGAGCCAUUGCGUCACUAGAAUAAUUAGAAAAAGCUUGUAUUAGAAUGAUUAAUUCUGAUUUACAAACUACGUAAUAGCGUUUGAUGCGCGAUUUUUACAUCGGAAAGCGCCUAUGCAUAACGACAGCCUGGGUGGAUUUGAUAACAUUGUUAUAUCUUUUGCUCUGGAGAAAUUAUCAAAGCCACAAGAGAGAUCAUAUUCAAUCAAUAUAUAAUAUGUCACAUAUUUUAAACACUACCUGACGUUUUGUACUUGAACAUAUCUGUGUUUAAAAACGACAAGUGGAACAAGAACAAUAGAUGCCUAAACAAUCUAUUGCACAGCAUGAUUGAUCAUUACCUUUAUCUAAAUCA